AAUCACAAGGUUUGACUGUUGGAACAGAACAAAGUUCACAUCGUCAACAACAACUAAGGUGGUACGUCGACCAAUAGGAGAGAGCGACAGAGAGAGAAAAGCACAAAGAGAAAGAUAGAAAUGAAAGACAGACACAGAUGAAGAGAGAGAGAGCACGACUUUGACUUCUGGGCUGACACGACCGUCUUUUCUCACGGAGGAAUUGUUCUUUGGAUUAUUUCCCCGCGCUCUGCGUCAACACGUGAUGGGAUUGAGCUCGAAACUAAAUGUGAAGUGUAUGUGACGGCCACCUUUGACUGCUGCGUCAAUCCAGAAGACAACUGUAGGGGCGACGAUGCAAGUAGCUCACUGAGGAAGUCCAGCAGCCGUCUUCACCUAUGUUCAUUCAUAUCUUCAUUCAAGGGAAACCGGGAAACUGAGCAGCAUGGAGGUGCUGAGCGGCCCCUGGGCUGAUCUGGCCCUGCUCCUGCGACAGACCCUCAUGCACACGGACAGAGCCACAGACAGCUUCGUUCCUCUGUGGCUCUUCGGCCUGCUGCUGUUCCUGUCCGUCUCUCUGCUGCUGCUGCAACUGAUUAUCUAUCUCAGCUGGAAACUCAGACAGGUUGAGGACGAUCAUUCGGGAUUUCCUCAGAACAGAAGCGCCAUCCACAGGCAGAUGGACAGAACUACAUACCUGAGGAGCAGGAGCGCUGGCUCCCACUGUCACACCUGACCGGACAGACUCUGUUAGAGAUAUGGACCCUUCACUACAUCUCAGUAAUACAAAACUGAAUGAGCCGCCUUGAACAGUAUGGAAGCUGAAGGUUGCUUGGAUGUCAGAUGAUAUAUGGAAACGUCUUGAAACACUCAGGGAAAUCUGUGUUGAGUAAAUGUGUUUAAAACCUUUCUAGAAUUUGGGAAAACAUCUUUAUCGGCUAUUUUUGUUACACCAAACUCACUGUUCUGGAGUGAAAGCUCAAACUCACAAGUUUUAAUAGCAACCAAUGAAAAGAGUGAACGACAGAGAAACAAUGAGAGUAUAACAAUCCUUUAUUCAAACAGUGUUACACGGGGGAGGAGUGGCUGUGUGGGGAGACAAGACAGUUAAGCGGCUAGAUAGAAAAAACCCUACCAGUGAUCAUUGGUUGUGCUACGAGAGCGCAAGGAGGGAGCGGGUUGCUUUUUCCAAAAUUUGUUUCCUAUAUAAAGUUUUGUUAUAAGUGAGUUUUUUUUACUUUGUUAAAAAUACAAAAUGAUGCUGGUUUUAACAGACUGUAAAUUUAUCUCAUUUGUCCAAACUGUUCAAUAAAGCCUGAGAUUGAAUGUAAAGAAACGAA